UUUAAAAUAAUUUUUGCAUGCUUACUUUUACCGCAUGCCUUUGGUAAGCGCAGGAGUGAGAAGAGGUUUUAAAUGAAUUAGCGCCCCGGUGGCAAUUCAAGGAAAUACAGUUUUUGUUUUUUAAAUAAGUCAGUGUGUCAUUCAUUACAAUGACUGGGUGGAAUUGUUAAAAUACUCCACUUUUUUUUGAAGUAUCUACCCCUUGUUCAUGUUUAUAUUAUUGUUCUAUUUUACGUACUACUAACAUUUUAUUUUUAUACAAAAUAUUCAAGCUGCUAAACAAUUUUGAGUCUGUGCGCAUGCGUGGACCGAUCAGGUAGUGACUCAGUUGUAAUACACUUUCCCACCACUUGUGGCAGUAUUGACACUUUCAAACAAACAGAAGUCUUGGAGCUAAAGUCAUAGAAGUUUCUUGAGCGCAAAAAUGAUGACUAAAGUGGUGAAACUCUAAUUUCCAGUUGAUUGUUUUCCAGCAACAAAGACGGUGGCGUCCGGCACGUGCCGCCGUGCUGGCAAAGAAGAUUAAUGGUUGGGGGUUUUUUUCCCCGGCAAUGAUUGAAAGUAAAAGCUGCGGGUGUUGAUGGAAAGAUUGGGAAGUGGUCCCACCUGGGACAUCCAUCACAGGAGGGAGGCGGUCCUCAGGCGGCCCAAACACGGAAGGGAGACGUUUGCCUGUCCUCAUUUGUCUUCUGUUGCAGACCUUGGCGCUGACCUCGGCUGCUGCCACGCGGCCUUCCCUUUCAGGGCCUGACCUGGCCUCUCAACCACUUCCUGUCCAAACAAUCAGCUCGGCUUUCAAGGAGGUCAAGUGAGACCUGGUUGGGACAUGGUGGCUUCCUGCAGUAUUCACACAACGGUUUUGGGGUCUGAAAGACAUUCCCAGUAAACACGCAACGUUUACGUCUUCGUCAACAUGUCGGCCGUUAUCAGGUCACAUGGGCCGAGGUGUCCAUCUGAGCAAAAAGGGCGCCAGACUGACAACAGGUAUGCAGGGGAU